rnacentral:rRNA from 1 species
GACCCGUCUUGAAGCACGGACCAAGGAGUCUAACAUGUGCGCGAGUCACUCGGUCUUGAAUAGGCCAGAGAGGCGCAAUGAAAGUAAUGUUGAUUGAGUUACGAUCCUUAUGCAGUUAUCCGUAUGGGUAACGGUAAGGCGCAGUAACAGCCCGCCAAUUUCGCUUAUUGACGAUAUGGCGGAGUUGUAGCGUACACGUUGGUACCCGAAAGAUGGUGAACUAUGCCUGGGCAGGACGAAGCCAGAGGAAACUCUGGUGGAGGUUCGUAGAAAUUUUGACGUGCAAAUCAAUUUUCAGACCUGGGUAUAGGGGCGAAAGACUAAUCGAACCAUCUAGUAGCUGGUUCCCUCUGAAGUUUCCCUCAGGAUAGCAGACACUCGAUGAGAUUCAGUCUCAUCCGGUAAAGCGAAUGAUUAGAGGCAUUGGGGUCGAAACGACCUCAACCUAUUCUCAAACUUUAAAUGGGUGAGAAGCCUGACUUGUUUGAUUAAAGCCAUGCUUUUGGAUGUAUGAGUGCCUAGUGGGCCAUUUUUGGUAAGCAGAACUGGCGCUGUGGG